UCGGAAUUGCCGGCGUGCUAUACAUGCAGUCGAGCGGACAGAUGGGAGCUUGCUCCCUGAUGUUAGCGGCGGACGGGUGAGUAACACGUGGGUAACCUGCCUGUAAGACUGGGAUAACUCCGGGAAACCGGGGCUAAUACCGGAUGGUUGUUUGAACCGCAUGGUUCAGACAUAAAAGGUGGCUUCGGCUACCACUUACAGAUGGACCCGCGGCGCAUUAGCUAGUUGGUGAGGUAACGGCUCACCAAGGCGACGAUGCGUAGCCGACCUGAGAGGGUGAUCGGCCACACUGGGACUGAGACACGGCCCAGACUCCUACGGGAGGCAGCAGUAGGGAAUCUUCCGCAAUGGACGAAAGUCUGACGGAGCAACGCCGCGUGAGUGAUGAAGGUUUUCGGAUCGUAAAGCUCUGUUGUUAGGGAAGAACAAGUGCCGUUCAAAUAGGGCGGCACCUUGACGGUACCUAACCAGAAAGCCACGGCUAACUACGUGCCAGCAGCCGCGGUAAUACGUAGGUGGCAAGCGUUGUCCGGAAUUAUUGGGCGUAAAGGGCUCGCAGGCGGUUUCUUAAGUCUGAUGUGAAAGCCCCCGGCUCAACCGGGGAGGGUCAUUGGAAACUGGGGAACUUGAGUGCAGAAGAGGAGAGUGGAAUUCCACGUGUAGCGGUGAAAUGCGUAGAGAUGUGGAGGAACACCAGUGGCGAAGGCGACUCUCUGGUCUGUAACUGACGCUGAGGAGCGAAAGCGUGGGGAGCGAACAGGAUUAGAUACCCUGGUAGUCCACGCCGUAAACGAUGAGUGCUAAGUGUUAGGGGGUUUCCGCCCCUUAGUGCUGCAGCUAACGCAUUAAGCACUCCGCCUGGGGAGUACGGUCGCAAGACUGAAACUCAAAGGAAUUGACGGGGGCCCGCACAAGCGGUGGAGCAUGUGGUUUAAUUCGAAGCACGCGAAGAACCUUACCAGGUCUUGACAUCCUCUGACAUCCUAGAGAUAGGACGUCCCCUUCGGGGGCAG
rnacentral:rRNA from 1 species